GACGAACGCUGGCGGCGUGCUUAACACAUGCAAGUCGAACGAUGAACCGAAUGCUUGCACUUGGGGAUUAGUGGCGAACGGGUUAGUAACACGUGAGUAACCUGCCCUGGACUCUGGGAUAACCCCGAGAAAUCGGAGCUAAUACCGGAUAGGACCUUUCCUCGCAUGAGGUUUGGUGGAAAGUUUUUCGGUCUGGGAUGGACUCGCGGCCUAUCAGCUUGUUGGUGAGGUAAUGGCUCACCAAGGCGUCGACGGGUAGCCGGCCUGAGAGGGUGACCGGCCGCACUGGGACUGAGACACGGCCCAGACUCCUACGGGAGGCAGCAGUGGGGAAUAUUGCACAAUGGGCGCAAGCCUGAUGCAGCAACGCCGCGUGCGGGAUGACGGCCUUCGGGUUGUAAACCGCUUUUAGUAGGGAAGAAGGGCUUCGGCUUGACGGUACCUGCAGAAAAGGGACCGGCUAACUACGUGCCAGCAGCCGCCGUAACAC
rnacentral:rRNA from 1 species